GACGAACGCUGGCGGCGUGCCUAAUACAUGCAAGUAGAACGCUGAAGAGAGGAGCUUGCUCUUCUUGGAUGAGUUGCGAACGGGUGAGUAACGCGUAGGUAACCUGCCUGGUAGCGGGGGAUAACUAUUGGAAACGAUAGCUAAUACCGCAUAAAAUGGAUUAUCGCAUGAUAAUCCAUUGAAAGGUGCAAAUGCAUCACUACCAGAUGGACCUGCGUUGUAUUAGCUAGUUGGUGGGGUAACGGCUCACCAAGGCGACGAUACAUAGCCGACCUGAGAGGGUGAUCGGCCACACUGGGACUGAGACACGGCCCAGACUCCUACGGGAGGCAGCAGUAGGGAAUCUUCGGCGAUGGACGGAAGUCUGACCGAGCAACGCCGCGUGAGUGAAGAAGGGUUUCGGAUCGUAAAGCUCUGUUGUAAGAGAAGAACGAGUGUGAGAGUGGAAAGUUCACACUGUGACGGUAUCUUACCAGAAAGGGACGGCUAACUACGUG
rnacentral:rRNA from 1 species